rnacentral:rRNA from 1 species
GACAGAGGAUGCAAGCGUUAUCCGGAAUGAUUGGGCGUAAAGCGUCUGUAGGUGGCUUUUUAAGUCCGCCGUCAAAUCCCAGGGCUCAACCCUGGACAGGCGGUGGAAACUACCAAGCUGGAGUACGGUAGGGGCAGAGGGAAUUUCCGGUGGAGCGGUGGAAUGCGCAGAUAUCAGGAGGAACACCGAUGGCGAAGGCAGAUCUCUGGGCCGUUACUGACGCUGAGGAGCGAAAGCGUGGGGAGCGAACAGG